rnacentral:rRNA from 1 species
UACGUAGGGGGCAAGCGUUGUCCGGAAUUAUUGGGCGUAAAGGGCGCGUAGGCGGAUUUUUAAGUCUGGUGUGAAAGAUCAGGGCUCAACCCUGAGAGUGCAUCGGAAACUGGGGAUCUUGAGGACAGGAGAGGAAAGUGGAAUUCCACGUGUAGCGGUGAAAUGCGUAGAUAUGUGGAGGAACACCAGUGGCGAAGGCGACUUUCUGGACUGUAACUGACGCUGAGGCGCGAAAGCGUGGGGAGCAAAC